rnacentral:lncRNA from 1 species
AUGAAGAAAAUUACCUGUCUUUCCAGGUGUGGGUGAGAAAGGCUGGAGAGCUAUCAGCACUCAUACGAUUGAAUUGCAUCUCCGUUUCAAAGUGUGCAGUUAUCACCAGCUGAAUGUGGCAGCCAGUUUCCAGCCUGUCCCAGGGGACCAGGAGACCAGCCUAGUUAGAGAGCAAUGUCAAGCUCAAGUUCUUUAAUUUUCAGCAUCUUACUCUUUAAUUGAGGCAGAGCAUAUCCUUAUGACACUUGCUGAAACCUUUGUUCCCAUACCAUUUGCAAUUGAUCGCUGUGCAAGCAGACUCAACUUGGAACACAGACAAAAGCUCGCUUGCUCUUCCACUUGGAUUUGUGCAGCUGGAGAUAAGGAUUAAAUUAGUGCUGUGAAUUCACCUGGGCUAGUAAAGCUAGUUCAAGGGAUAACGUGGAAAUCUGAUUAUGCAUUAUAUCUGUUUACCAAUAUAUUAUGUAUGUAGCUAUUUGGUUG